rnacentral:rRNA from 1 species
UGCUUAUCAACUAGCCCCACCCCUAUAACUUAAUCAACCACUAUAAACAAGUAGAAAAGCACUACACACACUUAACCAAAUCAUUUUCCCUCCUAAGUCUAGGCGAUAAAAAAG